UCCCCUUAAUCGCCACUUUUCACAUGCUUCCUGAGCUGCAACUGAUGCGGCAGAAAUCAAAUCAGACUCCUGCUUCAUCUCCUGUCCUCUAAGCCCCUCAGAAUUAUCUCCAAUCAUGUGGAAUGGAGUGGAUAGACCAACUUUCUUUGCCAGAGUAGGGGACGAAGGCAAUGAAGCUCCAGAAAAUAUAGUAAACUGUGAAGAUGAUGGCGCAUAUGAAACUUUCGCAUUUGGAGUGGAAUUAUAA
rnacentral:misc_RNA from 1 species